rnacentral:rRNA from 1 species
UACAGAGGGUGCGAGCGUUAAUCGGAAUUACUGGGCGUAAAGCGCGCGUAGGCGGCUUUGCAAGUCGGGUGUGAAAUCCCCAGGCUUAACCUGGGAACUGCAUUCGAGACUGCAUUGCUAGAGUAUGGGAGAGGGAAGUGGAAUUCCGGUGUAGCGGUGAAAUGCGUAGAUAUCGGAAGGAACAUCAGUGGCGAAAGCGACUUCCUGGACCAAUACUGACGCUCAUGUGCGAAAGCGUGGGGAGCAAACGGG